GGGAGCCCCCUCCGGUGUCCGGCUGCGCACGCGGGCAGCUUCUGCAUGGAGGCCGGCUGGGGGCUGGGGGCGGCGGCCGGCCGCUCGCUGCUGCUGUGUGCUGCGCUGCUGGCGGCGGGCUGCGCGCUGGGCUUGCGCCUGGGCCGCGGGCGGGGGGCGGCGGACCGCGGCGCGCUAGCCUGGCUCUGCUACGACGCGCUGGUGCACUUAGUGCUGGAAGGCUCUUUUGUCUACUUUUCCUUGGUAGGAAAUGUUGCUGAUUCCGAGGGCUUGAUUGCUUCUUUAUGGAAAGAAUAUGGCAAAGCUGAUGCAAGAUGGCUUUAUUUUGAUCCAACCAUUGUGUCUUUGGAAAUUCUGACUGCUGUCCUGGAUGGGUUUCUAGCAUUGUUCCUCAUUUAUGCCAUAGUCAAAGAGAAAUAUUAUCGCAUUGGGGAUUGGACUCAGAGCCUUGAACAUGUCAGGCAAGAAUUCUACCACUAAGCCACAUCCCAGCCCUUCAAGUUCUUAUUCUUCAAGUAAAUGAAAUCUGUCACCUUCAAGAUAGCAUGCAAUCUAUUUCUUAGCAUGGAUGCUGCCAGCCAUUUCUAGGGAGAACAGCAGCCGAUUUGGAUUCCAGAGAGACUAACCAAAGCGAUUUCUACAGACCAAAAAGAAGAUGAUUUGACUCAAAUCCAUAACAGCUGAUAUCCAGAGCUCCAGCUUGGCUAUUCUUACAUCUGUGACAGUGAUUAACCAGGAUGCUUUUUUCAAUAUCUAUUUUAUUAUUGUAUUUUUCCACAUAAUAAAGUUCUAUUUUAUUUUUUGAGCUCAUACAGACCUAGGUUAAUGUUUUUCUCAUCAGUUUUAUUUUUUGACUGUGGAGUUUUUAAACAUUGCAAUGGAGAUUUCACCUGUGUAAAGCUACAAGGCCUUUACUAUUGUCUUAUGUGUUGUACAUUUGUGUGCACACUUGUGUUUUUUGUUGUAUGUCUGUAUGUGCAUAUGUCCAUAUAUCAUAUAUGAGGAGCGUUCAUGAAAAAAUGGAUCCGAAUUGUUUUUUAUUCACGUGAUUUUAAUGGUUUAAUUUAAAUUGGGUAAACAGCUGUUGGGGAUUGUUUUAAUAUGUGUACAAAUAAGGAGGUUAACAGAUCUGUUUGUUUACUUUCACCUUUCCUUUUCAUUAUAUUUAAUAAUUCUGUUCAGGACAAUGUAAAUUGUUCAGAAAAUUGUUUUCUUAGUACCUGUUGGAAUGUUACAUAUUUUUUUUUAGCCAUCAUUGCCAGAAUUCCUAUUUUCAUCCCAGUGCCAGUGAAGACAAAGAUAAAACCAAACUACAGCUUCUUCGAUAGCUAUCACAGUAAACUGUAUAAACUUAUGCAUCAAUGAAUAAUAACUCAGGAAGUAAUGCUCAAUCAAGGAGUCGAUUUACUUGGGAGGAAAUGGACAUAUUGAUAGAUUCCUCUGCUUUGAACUGCUUGCAGAACUUGCCUGGACUAUGUAUCACUUGUAUACAUUGUGAACUAUCUGUUGGUACAGCGAAUUGUGGUAAUGCUGGAGUAUCUUUGCUGAUGGUGUCACCGGUGGUUUAAUUUUUCAAAGGAGCCGUCAAUUGGCUUAGUGUCGUGGCAUUUCUGUAUCCUCCUCCCUUCUGCUAGUGAUGGUCUAAAAUUUGGGGGCCAACAGAGGUGAGGCAAAGAACCUCACCCCCCCACACACUGGUGCAAAGGCCUAUCCACAAGAAUGGCUGUAUGCUGAACCGGUAGUCAGUGACGGAUAUGAUCCAAUUGCAGUGGUACCAACCUAAGACAGGAGGCUGACGCCUAGAGGUCAGCUCAUCCGAUGAUGGGUAAGGACCUUAUGUUGUAUUGGACAACCUAACAAGCAGGGUCCCUAAGCCACAUUGCUUGUUGUUUAAUUAAACAGAAGGGGGGAGAUGCUGAGAGCCAUAGCCAAGUAGGAAUGACGCAUGGCAUUUUUGGUUGAAAGGUGAAGCCAGCAAGCCAUUGAGAUGAUAAUGAUUAUGUUAAGAUGUGCAUUCAAUUGGAGAUUAGACCCCUGCUGUCCGCCUCAGACUGCUACUUUGGAGCUCUCCUGGGACUCCCGGAGAGUUCCCAUUGGUUGGGGAAGUGCCGUAGGAGGGAAUUCCGGAGGAGGGAUUUCCUGUUGGUGUAGUGUGUCCCUGGAGAAGGCCGCGUGCGUGGCAUUGGUGGGAGUUUUGGAAAUAAAGUUUGUUCCUGCUUGAGUGGCUCAUGAUUUUGUGCCCAGCCAGACUGUGGCAGUUGGGGUUGUGGCUCAGUGGUAAAGCGCUCACCUAGCAGGCAGGAGGUAUUGAGAUCCAUCCUCAGCACCACUUAAAAUAAAAGUUAUUGUGUCCAUCUACAACUAAAAAAAGAAAAAGAAUGUUUUAAAAAAAGAUGGAGGGGCUGGGAUUGUGGCUCAGCGGUAGAGUACUUGCCUAGCACGUAUGAGGUCCUGGGUUCAAUCCUCAGCACCACAUAAAAAUAAAUAAAUAAUGUCUAUCUAAAACUAAAAAAUAAAUAUUAAAUAAAAUAAAAAUAAAAAAAGAUGGAACCAGAAUUCCAUUUAAGGUUUAUGCAUUACAUUUGAAUAUCAUGUUUAUUUAGUCUCUUUUAAUCUACAACAGUUCUGUCUUCUCUUUUUUUCCCCCUAAUCUUAACUCUUUGAAGAACCAAAGCCAAGAGGGUUCUUGUCCUUCAUUCUGUAUUUUUUGACUCUUCAUAGAGCCAUCUAAUUUGUCCCAUUUUUCCUGCCUUGGGCAGGGGGUGGGGGAGAAGAUGUAUGUUAGCAUCCAGAGGACCAGUCGUGGUUUAGAGUCACAUGCUGUAAGAACUCCUAGUUUUCAGAAGAUUAAAGACCUCCUGUCUUCUACCAGAAGCUGAUUGCUUCCUAAGGAGCUUUGGUGCUGUCAUAGCUAAAUGUAGGUGGAACAGGAACUAAACAGAGGAUACUAAAUUCUUUUAUGUAUAAAGGUGAACUUAUGUAGAAGAGAUAUUAGGUAGUCACAAAAGGUGUAUUGGUUAGAAGGGUUUUAUGCUUAAACUAGGGAACAACAUAGGUUUAUCUCUUUAUGCUACCUCUUCUGCAUAGGAUCUGCUUCAGUGCAGUUGAAGUUAUGAGUCAGAGUAAUCUACUUCAGCCAGGGCUGGCUGAAGAUACUUAUUUGAUUAUUUAAUGUGUUUGCAUGGCCAGCAGAGGGAAUUCAUGUACUUCUAGGGGUGAGGGGGAAAAAAGGAAUUAGCAUGAAAGUUUUUUUCCAAUUCUCUAUUACUUCUCCUAAUCUGCUCCUGUUUAUGCAAUGUUUAUUUAUCCCAAUUAUAAAACAAAAGUUAUUACCACCGUAGUUUGAUUGAUGAUUAAGGCUGUAAAACUUAUUGAGACAAUCAUGUUUACCUUUUGGCUACACUAACAAAAUCAGAGUGGAAUUUCUCUACAUAUAGAUUCUAUAUUUCAUUACAUGUCUAAAAAUCCUAAAAAGUUGUUAUUCUCGGGCUGGGGUUAUGGCUCAGCGGUAGAGCACUCG